CGACAAAAUAAACCACGCAUACCAAGAGUUGCGAUGACAAGGAGGCAAUACGAGGAAAGCGCAAACAAGGACGUCCUCGUAUAACUUGGCGCCACACUUUCACGGAGGACCCCAGAUUAGUGGACACCAGGAGGGAGGAGGCUUCAGACAUUGCCAGUGACAGAUCCUUGUGGAGACAGCUUGCCGCCCAAUGCGCCGAAAGGAGCGGGAGGACCUAACAUGUGACAUCAAGACAAACAAACGAAAAAAAAACCGGAGUGGAUGUCAUGUGACGUCACUGUUACUAGGAAACGAAGAAAGCGUUCUGAAAUCCUAGAGCCUUGGAUGUUUCAUAAAAGAAGAAAAAAAGUCUGAUGAAGAGAGACACAACAUGGAACAUAUUCAGAGGACAGACAAUUCAGUGGACAGACACUACAGCAGAGAAUUACAUCAGCAAAUUUAAUCUUGAUGUUUUUCAAAUGUAACUUAGGACGUAGAUUGUGUUAUCUUUCUCCAUAGAAAUACCUCAUCUUCAUAUACCUCACCUUCAUAUACCUCACCUUCAUAUACCUCACCUUCAUAUACCUCAUCUUCAUAUACCUCAUCUUCAUAUACAUUAUCUUUAUAUACCUCACCUUCAUAUACCACAUCUUCAUAUUCCACAUCUUCAUAUACCACAUCUUCAUAUACCCCAUCUUCAUAUUCCUUAUCUUCAUAUACCUUAUCUUCAUAUACUACAUCUUCAUAUACCACAUCUUCAUAUACCACAUCUUCAUAUUCCUUAUCUUCAUAUACCUUAUCUUCAUAUACCACAUCUUCAUAUACCACAUCUUCAUAUUCCUUAUCUUCAUAUACCUUAUCUUCAUAUACCACAUCUUCAUAUACCACAUCUUCAUAUACCACAUCUUCAUAUACCUCACCUUCAUAUACCACAUCUUCAUAUUCCUUAUCUUCAUAUACCUUAUCUUCAUAUACCACAUCUUCAUAUACCACAUCUUCAUAUACCACAUCUUCAUAUACCACAUCUUCACAUAACUCAUCUUAUAUACCACAUCUUCAUAUACCUUAUCUUCAUAUACCACAUCUUCAUAUACCACAUCUUCACAUAACUCAUCUUAUAUACCACAUCUUGAUAUACCUUAUCUUCAUAUACCACAUCUUCAUAUACCACAUUUUCAUAUACCACAUCUUCAUAUACCUUAUCUUCAUAUACCACAUUUUCAUAUACCACGCUUUUUCCCCUUGGCACAGACUACAAAAGAGCCUACAUCUCAGCAGCAAAAAAUCUGGCUAGAAGAAGUAUAUCUCAUUCAUUUACUCUUUCACACCACACACACACAAACACAAACGUGCAGUCGCUCCUUCUAUAACUUCUAAAAAACCUCCUUUGAACUCAUGAGUUACUGUACGUUUGUCAGACACUUAACCCGCACGGGGACGACGUUAUGACAAAAAGAACUUUUAUUUUUCGAGACUUUAAAGGGGACGUCGUAACAGAGCUAUACAGAUCAACUCAUGCGCCAUUUUGCCCUCACUGGUGUAGAAGAAAGCAGCUGAAAGCAGGUGGCCUCUGAAAAGAGACAACCAGGGAGCUAUUGGGAUAGUGCACACAUUUUUUUUUUCAUAUGGACAUACAUGAUACUAAAGAUGAAAGGUUCAUAGCCACUCAGCCAUCCAUUGUUAGGUAGCAUUAGCUCCCAGUAGCCUCAAUACCAUCUGGGAGAGAAAAACAUGUGCACAUUGAGAAGUUGUAUGCGUGUGCACAUUGAGAAGUUGUAUGCGUGUGUGUUGGGGAGGGGG